GAUGAACGCUGGCGGCGUGCCUAAUACAUGCAAGUCGAGCGAACAGACGAGGAGCUUGCUCCUCUGACGUUAGCGGCGGACGGGUGAGUAACACGUGGAUAACCUACCUAUAAGACUGGGAUAACUUCGGGAAACCGGAGCUAAUACCGGAUAAUAUAUUGAACCGCAUGGUUCAAUAGUGAAAGACGGUUUUGCUGUCACUUAUAGAUGGAUCCGCGCCGCAUUAGCUAGUUGGUAAGGUAACGGCUUACCAAGGCGACGAUGCGUAGCCGACCUGAGAGGGUGAUCGGCCACACUGGAACUGAGACACGGUCCAGACUCCUACGGGAGGCAGCAGUAGGGAAUCUUCCGCAAUGGGCGACAGCCUGACGGAGCAACGCCGCGUGAGUGAUGAAGGUCUUCGGAUCGUAAAACUCUGUUAUUAGGGAAGAACAAAUGUGUAAGUAACUAUGCACGUCUUGACGGUACCUAAUCAGAAAGCCACGGCUAACUACGUG
rnacentral:rRNA from 1 species